rnacentral:tRNA from 1 species
GGGGGCGUAGCUCAGCUGGGAGAGCGCUACAAUCGCACUGUAGAGGUCAGGGGUUCGAAUCCCCUCGCCUCCACCA